rnacentral:rRNA from 1 species
CAGCCGCCACGGUAAUACGAAGGGUGCAAGCGUUACUCGGAAUUACUGGGCGUAAAGCGUGUGUAGGUGGUUGUUUAAGUCUGUCGUGAAAGCCCUGGGCUCAACCUGGGAAUUGCGACGGAUACUGGGCGACUAGAGUGCGGUAGAGGAUAGUGGAAUUUCCGGUGUAGCAGUGAAAUGCGUAGAGAUCGGAAGGAACAUCUGUGGCGAAGGCGACUAUCUGGGCCAACACUGACACUGAGACACGAAAGCGUGGGGAGCAAACAGGAUUAGAUACCCCUGUAGUCCCUGUCUCUUAUAC